rnacentral:rRNA from 1 species
UUGCACGCUGGCGGCAGGCCUAACCCAUGCAAGUCGCACGGUAACAGGAAGCAGCUUGCUGCUUUGCUGACGCGUGGCGGACGGGUGAGUAAUGUCUGGGAAACUGCCCGAUGGAGGGGGAUAACUACUGGAAACGGUAGCUAAUACCGCAUAACGUCGCAAGACCAAAGAGGGGGACCUUAGGGCCUCUUGCCAUCGGAUGUGCCCAGAUGGGAUUAGCUAGUAGGUGGGGUAACGGCUCACCUAGGCGACGAUCCCUAGCUGGUCUGAGAGGAUGACCAGCCACACUGGAACUGAGACACGGUCCAGACUCCUACGGGAGGCAGCAGUGGGGAAUAUUGCACAAUGGGCGCAAGCCUGAUGCAGCCAUGCCGCGUGUAUGAAGAAGGCCUUCGGGUUGUAAAGUACUUUCAGCGGGGAGGAAGGGAGUAAAGUUAAUACCUUUGCUCAUUGACGUUACCCGCAGAAGAAGCACCGGCUAACUCCGUG